rnacentral:rRNA from 1 species
AGAAUCAACGCUGGCGGCGUGCCUAACACAUGCAAGUCGCACGAGAAAGGGGCUUCGGCUCUGAGUAAAGUGGCGCACGGGUGAGUAACACGUGAAUAAUCUACCUCCGAGUGGGGAAUAACUGAGAGAAACCUUAGCUAAUACCGCAUAAUACCCACGGGUCAAAGGAGCAAUUCGCUUCAGGAGGGGUCGCGGCCGAUUAGUUAGUUGGCGGGUAAUGGCCCACCAAGACGAUGAUCGGUA